rnacentral:rRNA from 1 species
AGCAGCCGCGGUAAUUCCAGCUCCAAUAGCGUAUAUUAAAGUUGUUGCAGUUAAAAAGCUCGUAGUUGAAUUUCGGGGCCAGUAGGUUGGUCGUGCCACUGGUAUGCACUGGCCUUACUGGUCCCUCCCUCUUGUAGAACCGUGAUGCCAUUAAUUUGGUGUUGCGGGGAAACAGGACUGUUACUUUGAAAAAAUUAGAGUGCUUAAAGCAGGCUCGCGCUUGAAUACAUUAGCAUGGAAUAACGGAAUAGGACGAUCGAACCUAUUUUGUUGGUUUCUAGGAUCGACGUAAUGAUUAAUAGGGAUAGUUGGGGGCAUUAGUAUUCAAUUGUCAGAGGUGAAAUUCUUGGAUUUAUUGAAGACUAACUACUGCGAAAGCAUUUGCCAAGGAUGUUUUCAUUAAUCAAGAACGAAAGUUAGGGGAUCGAAGACGAUCAGAUACCGUCGUAGUCUUAACCAUAAACUAUGCCGACUAGGGAUCGGAUGAAGUUAAUUUUUAAU